rnacentral:rRNA from 1 species
AAACCAACAGGGAUUGCCUCAGUAGCGGCGAGUGAAGCGGCAAGAGCUCAGAUUUGAAAUCGUGUUUCGGCACGAGUUGUAGAGUGUAGGCUGGAGUCUCUGUGGAGCGCGGUGUCCAAGUCCCUUGGAACAGGGUGCCUGAGAGGGUGAGAGCCCCGUGGGGUGCUGCGCGAAGCUUUGAGGCCCUGCUGACGAGUCGAGUUGUUUGGGAAUGCAGCUCUAAGCGGGUGGUAAAUUCCAUCUAAGGCUAAAUAUUGGCGAGAGACCGAUAGCGAACAAGUACUGUGAAGGAAAGAUGAAAAGCACUUUGAAAAGAGAGUGAAACAGCACGUGAAAUUGUUGAAAGGGAAGGGUAUUGGGCCCGACAUGGGGAGUGCGCACCGCUGUCUCUUGUAGGCGGCGCUCUGGGCGCUCUCUGGGCCAGCAUCGGUUCUUGCUGCGAGAGAAGUGGCGCCGGAAAGUGGCUCUUCGGAGUGUUAUAGCCGGUGCCGGAUGUCGCGUGCGGGGACCGAGGGCUGCGACAUCUGUCUCGGAUGCUGGCACAACGGCGCAAUACCGC